UCACAGUUACAUUCUCUUUAGUUUUAUGAGAAUCCAAUGGCACAACCUCUAGAUAAAACUGUUACGGUUUCUUACGCAUCGACGAAGACGCCGGCGAACUUGGAGCGUGAUUGGAGGCUCCAUAAAACCAUUUAGAUGAUGAAGUUGUUAAAGAUGACAACAAAUUCACACCUUUCGCUGCUUAAAUCGAUCUAAAUCAUUUUGAUCACGUCGAACCUACAACAAUCAACAAAUUUCAGUAAAAUCAUUUAUAACAAAGAAUCACUUAU
rnacentral:lncRNA from 1 species